UCAUGGCUCAGGAUAAACGCUGGCGGCGCACAUAAGACAUGCAAGUCGAACGGAAGUCGUUAUAAUUGAUUUUGAGUGAAAGAUUUAUCCGGAACGAUGAUGAUUUUAUAACAAUGGCUUUAGUGGCGGACUGGUGAGUAACGCGUAAGCAAUCUGCCUAUCAGAGGGGAAUAACAGUGAGAAAUCAUUGCUAAUACCGCAUAUGCCAUGAACAUCGCAUGAUGAAAAUGGGAAAGGAGUAAUCCGCUGAUAGAUGAGCUUGCGUCUGAUUAACUAGUUGGUGGGGCAACGGCCUACCAAGGUGACGAUCAGUAGCCGGACUGAGAGGUUGAACGGCCACAUUGGGACUGAGAUACGGCCCAGACUCCUACGGGAGGCAGCAGUCGGGAAUAUUGCGCAAUGGAGGAAACUCUGACGCAGUGACGCCGCGUAUAGGAUGAAGGUUUUCGGAUUGUAAACUAUUGUCGUUAGGGAAGAUAAAAGACAGUACCUAAGGAGGAAGCUCCGGCUAACUACGUGCCAGCAGCCGCGGUAAUACGUAGGGAGCAAGCGUUAUCCGGAUUUAUUGGGUGUAAAGGGUGCGUAGACGGGAAAUUAAGUUAGUUGUGAAAUCCCUCGGCUCAACUGAGGAACUGCAACUAAAACUGGUUUUCUUGAGUGCAGGAGAGGAAAGAGGAAUUCCUAGUGUAGCGGUGAAAUGCGUAGAUAUUAGGAGGAACACCAGUGGCGAAGGCGUCUUUCUGGACUGUAACUGACGUUGAGGCACGAAAGUGUGGGGAGCAAACAGGAUUAGAUACCCUGGUAGUCCACACCGUAAACGAUGGAUACUAGUGUAGGAUGUGUUAAACAUUCUGUGCCGUCGCAAACGCAAUAAGUAUCCCACCUGGGGAGUACGGGCCGCAAGGUUGAAACUCAA
rnacentral:rRNA from 2 species